CAGAACGGACGUCGACGGUUAAAACGUACGCUUAACGGACAUGCAACGGAUAUGGACGGACGUCUAACGGAUAAGAACGGACGUCUAACGGACAUGAACGGAUUGAAAAAAAGUUAUCCGUUAGGCGUCCGUUCGAGCUAUCCGGUAAGGUGUGACCGAGGCUUUAGGCGUCCGUCCGUGAUAUCCGGUAAGGUUUGACCGAGGCUUUAACCACAGUUCUUGUAUAUCAUAAUAAAAGAAACAAGUUCAUUUUUUUUUUAAUUUUACUUUACAAAUAAAAGUAAUUUGAAAUCAGUUCAAAUAUGUGGGAUAAACGUCUAUGAGACAGAAACCCAACGACACAAAAUGCGCAUAGAUGUCGAAAUACAGAACACAUUGAUAGCAGAGAUAACAUAGACAGUGUUACAUUUGUGUACACAUACGGGUAAUUUACAGCUUGACAUAUAAUUGUGUUCACACAUGUCUAUUAUUGAAAACAGUAUGGUGAACCGUUAAAUGUGUUAGAUCGUUUUUAUGUCAUUGGAUUUUUCUGCAAUUAAUUUUUACCCGACACAUUCUUUAACAUAUGCUCUAAUGAAAUAAACAUAAACUGGAAAUGAAAAUUAUCUGUGAUAAAAGUGUAUAUGCAAACAAACCUAAAAGGUUUCGGAGUAUGAUAAAAAUAAUGACAUUUGAUAUAGGCCUUCGUUAACGUUCAAAUAUAUCAAACAAAUAGUGUUUUUGUUAAUCAGG
rnacentral:lncRNA from 1 species